rfam:Apis mellifera strain DH4 linkage group 13, whole genome shotgun sequence.
GUUGGUUACGGCGACAUGACACCAAAAACCUUUCCCGGAAUGUUCAUAGGGGGAUUGUGCGCUAUUGCAGGCGUUUUAGCCAUCGCUCUUCCGGUUCCUGUUAUCGUCAGCAAC